CUGCCCUCAGAAGAGGAGAUGGAGCGGCGACGAUGGGUGACCUCUCCUGCUCCUCUCCCCGGCUCAGUCCUCUCCCGCUCCUCCUCCCUGCUCACCCUACCACUCUCCCCAGGACCUGGAGAAACCAGCUGCCAUCUCAUACAGGAUGAAGGGGGGAGGCCAACCGGGUGGCCGUGAUCAGAGAGGGCAGCGGCACAGCAGCACCUUGCCCCCAAAGAUGCCCCGGGAGGCAGUUCCAUGUCUGGAUCCUUCCACUCUGGCUUUGCAGCAGGCCUUCAUCAACAAGCAAGCCAUGCUCCUGGCUCGCCAGAUGACCAUGCAGGCUAUGGCCAUCCAGAAGCAGCAGCUGAUGGACACAGUCUCCCCAAGCCCCUCCGAGGCCUCCAGCGCCGGCCACUUCCCACAGGGCCCAAGAGCCUCUAGCCCUUUCUCCAGAGCCAAGCCUGCCCUGCCACCACAGGU
rnacentral:lncRNA from 1 species